GAUUAACGCUGGCGGUGUGUCUAAUACAUGCAAGUCGAACGGCCUUCGGGUAGUGGCGAACGAGCGAGUAACACGUUGAAACCUGCCCCGAACUCAGGGAUAAGCACUGGAAACGGUGUCUAAUACCGGAUAGUCCCGCAAGGGUAAAGAUUUAUCGGUUCGGGAGGGGUCUGCGUCCUAUCAGUUUGUUGGUGAGGUAAAGGCUCACCAAGACUAUGACGGGUAGCUGGUCUGAGAGGAUGAUCAGCCGCGAUGGAACUGAGACACGGUCCAUACUCCUACGGGAGGCAGCAGUAGGGAAUCUUCCGCAAUGGACGAAAGUCUGACGGAGCAACACCGCGUGGUUGAUGAAGCCCCUUGGGGUGUAAAGACCUUUUCUGAGGGAAGAAUUAUGACGGUACCUUAGGAAUAAGCACCGGCUAACUCUG
rnacentral:rRNA from 1 species